CCAAGACUAUGAUGUGUAGCCGGGCUGAGAGGUUGAACGGCCACAUUGGGACUGAGACACGGCCCAAACUCCUACGGGAGGCAGCAGUAGGGAAUUUUCGGCAAUGGAGGAAACUCUGACCGAGCAACGCCGCGUGAACGAUGAAGUAUUUCGGUACGUAAAGUUCUUUUAUUAGGGAAGAAUAAAUGAUGGAAAAAUCAUUCUGACGGUACCUAAUGAAUAAGCCCCGGCUAACUAUGUGCCAGCAGCCGCGGUAAUACAUAGGGGGCAAGCGUUAUCCGGAAUUAUUGGGCGUAAAGGGUGCGUAGGCGGUUAAAUAAGUUUAUGGUCUAAGUGCAAUGCUUAACAUUGUGAUGCUAUAAAAACUGUUUAGCUAGAGUAAGAUAGAGGCAAGUGGAAUUCCAUGUGUAGUGGUAAAAUGCGUAAAUAUAUGGAGGAACACCGGUAGCGAAGGCGGCUUGCUGGGUCUUUACUGACGCUGAGGCACGAAAGCGUGGGGAGCAAACAGGAUUAGAUACCCUGGUAGUCCACGCCGUAAACGAUGAGUACUAAAUGUUGGGUAAAACCAGUGUUGAAGUUAACACAUUAAGUACUCCGCCUGAGUAGUACGUACGCAAGUAUGAAACUUAAAGGAAUUGACGGGACUCCGCACAAGCGGUGGAUCAUGUUGUUUAAUUCGAAGGUACCCGAAAAACCUCACCAGGUCUUGACAUGCUUCUGCAAAGCUGUAGAAACACAGUGGAGGUUAUCAGUUGCACAGGUGGUGCAUGGUUGUCGUCAGCUCGUGUCGUGAGAUGUUGGGUUAAGUCCCGCAACGAGCGCAACCCUUAUUGUUAGUUGCCAGCACGUAAUGGUGGGGACUUUAGCAAGACUGCCAGUGAUAAAUUGGAGGAAGGUGGGGACGACGUCAAAUCAUCAUGCCCCUUAUGACCUGGGCUACAAACGUGAUACAAUGGCUGUUACAAAGGG
rnacentral:rRNA from 1 species